rnacentral:lncRNA from 1 species
ACAAGUCAGCUUAACCCGUCCUGGUGAGAUCAGAAAAAGCCAAACACUUAUCAUCAUAUGAGAGAUAUCAGGUAUGUCUUUAUCAAUCUUGGUUUGCGUAUGUUCUUUUGUUAUUAUUAGCUGUACGACUACACACACUGAGGCAUGUUUUUUGUUUAUCACCUAGAGCCUUUCUAGCCAUCCCAUUAUUAUUAUUAUCCAUUGUUUUACCCUGUUGAGCCUGUUAAUCAUUUAUUUCUGAUAUACCCGUUUUUUCUAAAGCCAUGACCUUGUACCUAUCCUACCCUGUUCAGAGUAUGUGAGGAUUGAUUUCAUCUCUACGUUUCUAUCUAAGUUUGGGGUUGCUGUUGGAAUAGCAACCUUUAAGUUUGGGGUAGCUUUGCAGUACGUGAAUAGUAAGUGAAUGUCGUAUAAAAGAAAAACAAAAGAAGAAAAAAAAAAGAAAAAAAAGAGAAAAAAAAAACAACAACAACAUGAAAAGAAAGAAAGAGAAAAGCGAAAAACAAUAAAAGAACAGCUUUUGAAAAAUGCUACAUUCACUAUAGAUAAAAGGAAAAGAGGAUUGCAAAACCCUACAGGAAUAAUAGGAAAGAAACGUAGUGAGAGAAUGAUUUCAUGUACUCUGAACCAAAAGACCCAAAAACCGUUGUUCCAAUUUCAUACCCUACCUAAA